AGAGUUUGAUCAUGGCUCAGGACGAACGCUGGCGGCGCGCUUAACACAUGCAAGUCGAGCGAGAACCAGCCCUUCGGGGCUGGGGACAGCGGCGAACGGGUGAGUAACACGUGAGUAAUCCACCCUCGGCAUCGGGAUAGCCCGGGGAAACCCGGAUUAAUACCGAAUGGCCCAUUUGUCCCUCGGGAAUAAAUGGAAAAGGUAGCUUCGGCCUCUGGCCGGGGACGAGCUCGCGGCGGAUUAGCUUGUUGGUGGGGUAAAGGCCCACCAAGGCGACGAUCCGUAGCUGGUCUGAGAGGACGAUCAGCCACACUGGGACUGAGACACGGCCCAGACUCCUACGGGAGGCAGCAGUGGGGAAUCUUGCGCAAUGGACGAAAGUCUGAUGGAGCAACGCCGCGUGCAGGAUGAAGGUCUUCGGAUUGUAAACUGCUUUUAUUUGUGACGAAUAUGACGGUAGCAAAUGAAUAAGGAUCGGCUAACUCCGUGCCAGCAGCCGCGGUAAUAC
rnacentral:rRNA from 1 species